rnacentral:lncRNA from 1 species
GCCGGUGAUUGUUAGUGGCCGGAUCUGCACGAAAUUCGCCGGAGGUGGCCGGAUCUGGGUGGAGUAGGUUGUGGGUGGCCGGAAAUCUGGCAGUGGGUGGCGGAAUUCGACGAGUUUGGGUCGUGGGUGGAAUAGAUUGUGUUGUUGGAUAUGGAGUGAUAAGAGUGAUAAAAGAGAAGAAGAAGAAAAUGGAGAAAAAAAAA